GUGAGUAACACGUGGGUAACCUGCCUGUAAGACUGGGAUAACUCCGGGAACCGGGGCUAAUACCGGAUGGUUGUUUGAACCGCAUGGUUCAAACAUAAAAGGUGGCUUCGGCUACCACUUACAGAUGGACCCGCGGCGCAUUAGCUAGUUGGUGAGGUAACGGCUCACCAAGGCAACGAUGCGUAGCCGACCUGAGAGGGUGAUCGGCCACACUGGGACUGAGACACGGCCCAGACUCCUACGGGAGGCAGCAGUAGGGAAUCUUCCGCAAUGGACGAAAGUCUGACGGAGCAACGCCGCGUGAGUGAUGAAGGUUUUCGGGUCGUAAAACUCUGUUGUUAGGGAAGAACAAGUACCGUUCGAAUA
rnacentral:rRNA from 1 species